rnacentral:rRNA from 1 species
AUUGAACGCUGGCGGCAUGCCUUACACAUGCAAGUCGAACGGUAACAGGUCUUCGGAUGCUGACGAGUGGCGAACGGGUGCGUAAUACAUCGGAACGUGCCCAGACGUGGGGGAUAACGAGGCGAAAGCUUUGCUAAUACCGCAUACGAUCUAAGGAUGAAAGCCGGGGACCGCAAGGCCUUGCGCGUUUGGAGCGGCCGAUGGCAGAUUAGGUAGUUGGUGGGAUAAAAGCUUACCAAGCCGACGAUCUGUAGCUGGUCUGAGAGGACGACCAGCCACACUGGGACUGAGACACGGCCCAGACUCCUACGGGAGGCAGCAGUGGGGAAUUUUGGACAAUGGGCGAAAGCCUGAUCCAGCAAUGCCGCGUGCAGGAUGAAGGCCUUCGGGUUGUAAACUGCUUUUGUACGGAACGAAAAGGCUCUGGCUAAUACCUGGGGCACAUGACGGUACCGUAAGAAUAAGCACCGGCUAACUACGUG